GGAUAGUAGAGGAUAGGAAAGGUAGCAGAACACGACAGUCACUAGUAUGGCAAUAUGUAAAUCAAUGGAUGUGUAAUUGAUGUGAUUCUGCAAUCUGUAUAUGGGCUAAAAAUGGGAGUUCAUAACCCACUUGAAGCAAAGUGUGAAAGAUGAUAUAUCAAGAACUAUGUAAUGUUUUGAACAACCAACAAUAAAAAAAAUAAAAAAUAAAAAACAGUCUUAUUUAAAUUCUAGGCAUGGUUCUAACUGCUCUGCAUGUACUAAUUAAUUUAUCAAUGUUAUAAAAUUAAUGUUUUAUUUCUACUUCUGAAAAGCACAUGGAAACAUUUUUGAAAAAUGCAGAACAUUGCAAAAUAUUUUGAUUGCAUAACUUUAGUUACUGCCUCCCUCCCCAUAAGUCAAAACUAUUUGCUUUGAUAAUACAGUGUGCUACAUUAAAUGUCACACUUACAAAGACAAGCUCUCUUUUAAAGGAAAUAGCUAUAAUUUUGAGAAACUGAUUAGAAUGAACUGCUACUUGUUUUCUCAAAGAGUCUAUCAUAAAUUGACCCUUCAAAUAUGUUUAUACAUUUCAGUGCAAAGAGUCAUGGAGCAAAUUAAGUCAUGAGUAAUCUAAGAUUUAUUCUGUGUUCACAGAUAAGAUUUUGAGAGUAAAUGAAAUUCUGCAGGUUUUGUAUUGGUCAAUAAAUAAAAAUUCUAUUUUUAAAAUAGAAACUUUUAAAAACUUCUAGAGAAAAACAAAAUUAUAUACAAGAAUUUUUUUAAAUGAGUAUUGUAAGAUAUCUAAUGGGAGUUCAUAACCCAUUUGAAUCAAAGUGUGAAAUAUGAUAUGUCAAGAACUAUGUAAUGUUUUGAACAACCAACAAUAAAAAUUUUUUAAAAAGAUAUCUAAGAAAAAUAUAAAAUAACAGUUCAAGCUAGUGUGAUGGUGCACACCUGUAAUCCAAGCAACUUGGGAGGCUGGGGCAGGAGGAUCCAAGUUUGAGGUCAUCUUCAGCAAUUUAGUGAGUCCUUAAGCAACUUAUGAGAUCCUGUCUCAAAAUAAAAAGUAAAAAGAGCUGGGGAUGUGGCUCAGUGGUAAAGUGCCCCUGAGUUUAAUCCCCAGUGCAAAAAAAAAAAAAUCAGAAAAGGGAGAAAGUGUUGAGAUAUGAAAUAAUUGCUGGAGCUUAUGUGCUUAUGGUGGAACUCAACUGAACCUACAAAGGAAAGGAAAGAAUUAAGGAAUCAUGAAAGAGGGUAUUUUACUUUUUUAUAAACAAAACAAAUAUAACUAUGAUAUUAUUUUACCUGUGCUUUUGUGAUCCUGUAAUCUGUACACGUGGAAAAAUGAGAAUUCAUACCCUAUUUGAAUCAAAUGUAUGAUAUGUCAAGAUCAUUGUAUUGUCUUGAGCAACUAAUUAAAAAAAAAAAGAAAAGUCAUCACUAUUGUGGAAGUUCAUGUUGAAAAAGGAUGCUAUACUACUCAAUAGGAAGGUCUUUUUAAGAUAAUGAUAAUGUUUAAAAUUUUGUUCUGCAUUAAAUCUAUUCAAUUAAAUGAUGUGAAUGUCUUCCUUUGCAGUUGUCUUAUGCAUUAAUUAU
rnacentral:lncRNA from 1 species